AAAGUACCCGUGAUUAUAUAUUUAUUAUAGUUCACAGAGCGGCCUUAGCCGUGUUCUAUCCUACACGAAGGGGUCUUGACCGGAUAUUGGUCUCGAUCGUGUACAUAUAGUUCACAGAAAGGUCUUGACCAUGUUCCAGAAUUGAUUACUAGAGGUCUUUGAGACCGACUUUUGUUCACGGAUAGGGCCAAGGGCCUAUGGGGAAAGUUCUUAACCCGAGGGGCGGAUUACAUAUUUCAAUCAGAUGGUACAUUUUUGAUGAAUUUUUCAGUAUGUUUGAUGUGAUGAGAUUAUAGCGUGGUUAUCAGCUGAUAUUUAUAUCAUGAUUUUGAGAUGAUAUUUUAC
rnacentral:lncRNA from 1 species